rnacentral:lncRNA from 1 species
AAAAUUCAAACAAUAAUAAUGUAGUCAUUUUCUAUUUAAAUGUACUUUAAAAGAAAGUUAUUGCCCACUUUAUUCAAAAAAUAAUAAAUCUUUUUAUUAUAUACAAUAAUUUUAAAAAAAAUUUAAAUGAAGUUGUAAAAAAAAUUACAAAAAAAAAAAAUGCAAUACAUAAGUUAAAUUUGGCGUGGGCCCAUCUCGGCCCGUUUAGUAGCCUGACAUGAACACAACCAGAGUCCAUAUGGGCUUGGGCAGUAAACUCGGGCCAGAAUUGAUGAUUUUGAUAAAUGUAUAAGUCCGGCACGAGCACAGCCCAAGUUCAUAUGGGCUUGGGCCGUAAACUCGGACUGAAAUUGAUGAUUUUCAUAAAUAAACAAAUCCGACACGACCCGUUUAUUAAAUAAAUUGACUCUAAACAGGCUAAGCCGGGCCAUUUUGACACCUUGACAUAUAUUAUUAUGUAUAAUGCACUUACAUAGAAUGGAGGGAAAGAUAAUAAAUAAAUAAAUAAAUAAGAAGAUUAAAAAUGUAUAUUAAAAAAAAGAAGCACCACUUGCUACUAACAAAUAAUCAUGCGAAAAAUGUAUAUUAGGAAAAUACUGGAAGUUAAUCUAAACCAAAUGCUCCUAACAAAUAAACACCACUUACUUUGCAUGUGCGAUAAACAUUUUUUUUAAUCAUGCGCGUUACAUGUGUCUUUUAAAGUUUUUAUUUUUUUCUUUUCUUUUCAAUUGUAUUUUUUUUACUAUUGUAUGUCUGAAGAGACUUAAAGUGCUGCUAAAUGAAUUCUAAAAUUAAUUGAGUACACCCUAUUAUAAAAGUAUAUAUUGAAUUACUGAUUUACCCUAAUAUAAAAUGACCAAAGGAUAUAUGGAAUUAUGAAACAAAUAUAAUUUUAAUAAGUACACCCUACUAACCAUAUUCAACCCUAAUCAAGAGAUUA